rnacentral:lncRNA from 1 species
AUCUUUGUGGUAUCUGUGCUAAAAAUAGUUCAUGUGGGAAAUUUUUACAAUGUAACUUGUGUCUUUUAGUGUACUUAAACUAAAUAUGUCUGUGGCGUUUCAUUAAGAAGUUGUUAUGUUCCAAGGAGUGAACUCUGUAAACAUUUCUAUGCUCAACCAUGCUUGUGUAACCGCUCUCUCUUUAAUCUGGUAUGUCACAGUCCUGAAUGUGAUGUCUUAAAUGC